rnacentral:rRNA from 1 species
AUGCAAGCGUUAUCCGGAAUCAUUGGGCGUAAAGCGCCUGUAGGUUGUUUAAUAAGUCUGUUGUUAAAGACUAGGGCUCAACCCUAGAAAAGCAAUGGAAACUACUAGACUAGAGUAUGGCAGGGGUAGAGGGAAUUUCUAGUGUAGCGGUGAGAUGCGUAGAUAUUAGAAAGAACACCGGUGGCGAAAGCGCUCUACUGGACCAUUACUGACACUCAGAGGCGAAAGCUAGGGUAGCAAAAGGGAUUAGAUACCCCUGUAGUCCUAGCCGUAAACGAUGGAUACUAGAUGUUGUAUAUUGUAUAUACGCAGUGUCGUAGCUAACGCGUUAAGUAUCCCGCCUGGGAAGUACGCUCGCAAGGGUGAAACUCAAAGGAAUUGACGGGGGCCCGCACAAGCGGUGGAGCAUGUGGUUCAAUUCGAUGCAAAGCGAAGAACCUUACCAGGGCUUGACAUACUACGAAUUCUCUUGAAAAAGAGAAGUGCCUUCGGGAAUGUAGAUACAGGUGGUGCAUGGCUGUCGUCAGCUCGUGUCGUGAGAUGUUGGGUUAAGUCCCGCAACGAGCGCAACCCUCGUUUUUAGUUGCCAAUUUAUUGGGAUCUCUAGAAAGACUGCCGGUGACAAACCGGAGGAAGGUGAGGAUGACGUCAAGUCAGCAUGCCCCUUAUGUCCUGGGCCACACACGUGCUACAAUGGUAAAGACAAAGAGUCGCCAAUUCGCGAGAAUGAGCUAAUCUCAUAAACUUUAUCUAAGU